rnacentral:lncRNA from 1 species
AUCAUUUGAAUGCUGCUUAUUAAUCACAUGUGAUUGAUAUAAUAAUUAGCAUAAUUCUACUUGUAUCCCCCCCAUAAAACAUUUAAAAACAAGUUAAAACAUUGAUUAAGGGGUAUGAACUCACCUGUUGUGGGUGAUACGGAUGAACUGAAGAGGUAGGACUGCUAGGUGUCAAGUGAAGACUUUAGACACACACAAUGAUCCUAAUUACAUAUGAAGACAUAUGUAUAUAAAUAAUUAGUGAUUUAAAACACUAAUUAACCAUGUAUAAAUAUCCUAAUGUGUAGAAAACACUUUGGUCAAGUGUUAGGAGGCUAUCGGGUUGCAACAAGAGAGUGCAAGACCUCAUACGGGAGUUUAUGGUCUAAAGACCAUGUAUGUUGGGGUUUACGGCCCAAGGGAGUAAACUCCUGGCCGUAAACUCUCUAUUGGGGCACUAAAUGAAGCUCAAAGCUAUUACAACUUAUGUGGUUAAGUGCUUCUAGGCUUAAACAAGUGUUUCGGUGGGUUUAAGACCUUAAAAUGGCCUUGCUCAAUGUUCACGGCCCAGGGACCAUAUCCCAUGGAGAUUACGGUCGUAAUCUCCCUUGGGAGGGUGUUCGUGGUGUUUUCAAGUCCCUAAAUCAACUAGGAACUAGACUAUGCUAGUGUACAAGGCUUUAGAAGAGUUUAUAACACCAUUUGGCACUAUUGUUUGGAGUUCACGGCCAUGGAACUUCUUGGGCCCUGAACACCUUACUCUUGGUGUUCUAAGGGUGUUUGCUAGUCCUAAACUCAUUAGGCUACAUGUCUAAAUUAGUCUCUUGGCUUAAGGAAGGCUUUUAGGGUGUUUUGGCACCUAAAAAUGGAGUUCACGGCCCAAGAACAUCCUUGGCCGUGAACUCACUUUCAACCCUUAAUUCUUAAUGUUUUGGAUGUCUAAACUAGCUAUGGGUAGUCUCAAGGUUCAUUUCCAAGGUUUGGAGGGACAUUGAGCACACUUUGGCCCUUAUAACAGAGCUUACUCUCCAAGUGUUCUUGGGCGGUGAACUCUCAAAUCUUGGGGUUUUGAUCCGCUUUUGAAGUUAUUAGGCACAAUCUAAGCUAUAUAAUACAACUAGAUAGAAGUACUCACGAUUUGGGAUGAAAACCCGAAGAUCCAUGAGAGAUAAUUUGCCUUUUCUCUAGUUGGAAAUGUAACUAAUGAAUGAAUAUGGUUCAGAUUUCUAUAUAUAGUCCUGGGAUUUUUGGCAGAAAAUAUUUUAUUCCCGGAAUGAACUCUAAUAUCAUAGCGUUUUGGAAUCACAGGGUUGCACAAAACCCUAGUGCAUCCAUUCUCCUGAUAUCUCCUUAAGUGUUAAUUCUGAAAUACUCAAACUUAUACCUAUAGUCUGGAAUUUCACUGUAACUGUUCUAACUUCUAUUGACUUGAUAUGGUUUGUUCAGAAUGGAAAUUUCGGGUUGUCUCAUCAUCCCCCUGUUAAAGGGAAUUUCGUCCCGAAAUUAGAAUUUAGGCAAGGAAGUAUGUACGAAUGAUCGAAUCAUGAGGUGGGGACUUCCUAAUCGAUUUGGUUCUCGCGCUCCUAAGUGAAAUCGGGUCCUCGGUUGGUAUCCCAACGAACCUUCACUAACGGGCGACUGUGUUGCUUCGUCCGCUUGACCUCUAUGCCUAGGGUCACUACGGUUCUAAUACGAAUGCGAGGAUCUCGUUAAUCUUGAUCUCGUCGAGUAGGCUUACGAGAGUCCUAACGGAAAGGUAUGGUUUCAAGAUCGAGAGGCGAAGAGUAAAACGUAUGCAAUUGAGUUCGCAGAGUAGGUUUAGUUUGCGAGGUACAGGACCGAUUCGGGUAAGAAUCUCGGAGGUCCUAACUAUAUUGGAUUUAGCUUUCCAUGCUUUACGAAGCGUAUUAAGCCAUUCCCAGAGUGAGACUUCCUAAAGAACUUGGUCUCUCACUUGGAAUUCCAAAGGUUCUUUCUCUUGCUAAACUUCCCAGUCAAGGGCCACCCCUUGCUGGUCAAAGUCGAAAGGGUUUCUGUGAUUUGUGAGGAGUUAUGGAUGAACUAUGAUAGUAGGUCUGUAAGACCUAGAAUUUGGUGAAUUUCUGUCGGCGUCUUCGGUGUCGACCAAUUCCCAAUGGUUUCGGAUAAAUUGCCAGAGUACUCAAAAAUUCCCACAUCACUAAUAGUGUGUCUUAGGAACUUUUGAGUCUUCAAUUCCAAAACUCGAGUUCAGAGAACUUUGCAAAAUGUAUAUCCGAGGGUAAUGUUUCCACGGGUUCCUUCUUGCUACGAGGGUAGAUAAGUAAGUCAUCACAUGGAGAAAUGACGAAGUGAUCCAAGUAAGAAAGACGGAUCCUAUUCAUUAAACUCAGAAUUACUAUGGGCGUAUUGGUCCUACCCGAGGGGUAUCACUACGGACUCAUAGUGUCCGCAUCGAGUUCGGAAGGUAGUCUCUCGGACAUCCUUUCCUAACACUCAAACUGGCGAUAUUCAGAUCUCAGGUCCAUUCCUGAAAGUAAUUCCUUCCUUUUGUUUGCUCAACCGCUUCAUCUAUGCGAGGCAGAGACAACGAUUUCUAAUGGAAAAAUCUUGACGGAGUCCUCGAUAUCUGAGGUACAUACAAUGCAAUUCGUCGACCUCUGGAAGAAUAAGACCAGAGUUCUCCAGGGUGAGAAGACUAGUCUUCUAAUUCUAUUUCUGUGCAGUUCGCUAAGUUGUCCGGGCUGUUCUGGUGUCUCCGUAGGUGUUUAGGCUAUAGGGCGAUCUGUUUACAGGAGUCAUACUGGGUUCUAAGUUUGUUCACAUGAUGAUGCGAUUACUCGUAGACUUAGGCAGUUCUCCAUCCUGAAGUUCAUAUUAGAAUCCAUACAUGGUUUCACCAUCACAAUCUCGUGUAUACAAGUCGUAUAUAAUUAAGAUUGAAAAGGUAGUCGAAUAAAUGAUUCUUGUUUAAGCUCACAUCCCAUCAAGGAAAAGAAGUUAAAGAGGAUUCAUCAAUUCUAAACUUGUAGAACCUUGAUUAUAUAUCACUCUUAUGUAUACAUUCCUCAGUGAUAGAUCAACCGUAUGAAUCCUUGGAUUGAACAUGACGUACUGGAUGAGUGGUACUUCGGGGAUUUCUUCAGAAAGAAAGAACUAUGAGGUACUCCAUGCAUGAGUACUUCGGUGUUCUGAAAUGACAGCUUUGCUAAAAUGACGUUUACUGGUAAAGAGAUGUACUUAAGAAGCUGGUAUGGUGUGGAUCAAAUUGAAUCUAGUUGUAUGAAAAUGUCGGAAUAAUACGGAAACUUAAAGACAUUAGAUUUGAACAUAAGGCAUUUACAGACAAAACACAACCGUGCAACCAUCAAUAGAGUUACAGUAUUUUAGAACACUACAAGAUCAUUGCUGCGAAUAAGGUAUACUACAAAAGACAAGUAUAUGCAGCACGAGCAUUCCUAUACAGACAGGAUCUCGCAAAAGGUAAGACUCUUGUUGCACUAGUUUUGGAUGGUUAUAAGUAUGUUACAACGAAACGCUUAAAUUACAUUAAUGCGGUCCUGGAGUAGGCUCUCCUGCAGCUGUGAUCCUGAGAAUCUUCCCGUCUGCGCCAGAGUUCUGCGCUAUCGGGCAAUCCUUCUUGAGGUGUCCAACUUCACCGCCUUGGUGACAUAUCUGGACUACACCAACAUCAGUGGUGGAAGUGAAGUGUCGAGUAAGAGAUAUGGGGAUACUGUUGCUUUCAUUGAUAUUCUCUUUUGGACAAUUUCUGUAAUAGUGCCCUGCCUCACCACAACUAUAGCAAACAAGGCUUGCUCCAGUGGUGGAGGUAGUUCUAUAGAAACGAGCAAUGUGCCCCAUCUUGUUGAAAUUAUUGCAUUGCCAGGCUCGGCAAAUUCCGUUGUGGUGGUAGUUGCACCGGUCGCACUUCGGGAGUGUCCCUUUAUAUGGUCUACUCGGUAUUGGGAUGGUAGAGGUUUCCACUUGUGGUUGUUGCAUGGAAAUUCUCUGAAAUCGCUUGCGUUCAACUUGGGCUUGACGUUUUCAUUUCUUGAACUCUGAGCUGUUGUUUUAAGCGCUGGCGACUGUUACUAUUUGUUUAUUCCUCGGAUCGUUAACACGAUCGGGGUUGUCAACUCCUUUUUCAGUCUUGGUUGCGUUAACAGUGCAGCGAUUUGCAAGGACAGCUGUCAUGGCAGCCAUCACGGCAGCUGUAACAGUGGCUUGAAAAGUAGCGGCGUCCAUAGGGAAAGUAGAAGUUUUGUUGUCCGAUUGGUUGCUUCCUGAUGACGACAUGAUUCUGUAACACGAAAGAUAAGGAUUUUGUGAGUGAUUCUGGUUGACCCUAGAUGUACUUAGAUUGUUCAAGUAAAGGGGUAAGACUAUGCUCUCGAAAGUUUGACCUACAUCCCUAUGAUGCAGUCCUAGCACGGAAUGGAAGUGAGUUUCUAGAAUGGUCUCAAGAUGUUUUUCGCUCAAGCCGAUGUAUCGUUGGUUGGUGAAUAACAUGAUCCAACCACUGAAAGAGACUUGGAAAUGUCUCCGGAGCUAGAUUACUAUAGUCCAAUGACUGGACUAAAGCAGGUUUCAGAUAGACUCCAAUGAAAGUAUGAUGAGAGUACUUGAAUAAAGAAGGACACGAUAGUUAGCCGACUGUCAAAAUCUUUGAUAUUCAUGAUGUAAAAGUUCGGGAAAAUGACCUUGCAAAAGGUCUUACAUCAUAUCUAGAGAAGAUAGUUCUUGACAGCAUAAAGACCUAACCAAUAGUACUUAUAGUACAAGAUAGUUUCAUAGAAAAUGCCACUUCGGUCAGAGACAAAAAAACGAUUACUUUCUAACAAGGAAAUGAAGUAAAGCAUCUACUACUGGCGACGGUCAUCCUUCUGGUGAACUCUCAGUUCAGCCAGUUGACGUUCAACAUCAAGUAGGUGUCUUUUGUACACCCUUUGGCGUACGCAGAGCUCUAUGACUUCGGCUCGUGAUUCAGCCAGGGCUUGCAGUAGGGUUUCCUGGUUUCUCUCUGAUCUCUCCCGAGCANGAGCAUCUUCUAGACGAAUGAUGCGGAUGGUAUGCAUUCUCGCAUCGGCGACAACUUCGGUGAUUUGAUGUAGGGCUGUCCUGCCUUGAAUCUCAUUCCGGGCCACUCUGCGGACCAAGAUAGGCAAGAUUCUGUGUGCUGAGCCCCCAUUCCUCAAGUCGUAAAAGCUUCGGUCACCAUUAAAUGGUAUGGGCUGAACUUGUCCUUGGCUCCAUGUUUCCAAGCAUUCAACCCACUCAGGCGUCGGGCCAUGAAAAGUCGGACGAGGGUUAGGAAUUGGAAAUGAAGCUACUUGGGGUAGGUUCUCAACCUCUGGUUCGGAGUUAGAAUCGUUCGAAAGGUUUUCAUCAUGGUGAUCAUUCACAGGUAUAGGAUGAUCAUUCUCUGGUUCUUCUUCAAACCAUCCAGCAAUGACCUCAUUCGGAAGGUACUAGUUGUCGUGGGGAUGGAGUCUAGCCAUGUUAUCUACACGAGAAUUAGGGUAAGAAAAUAAUUAUUAGACGAACUAUCUAGAUAAUUAUUUAGAAAAUCUUCAUUAGUUACAUCGCUAUUUGUGAAGUGCAUACUAGUUGUAGGUAAUCGAAAUAGGAUAGGCCUUCGAAUAUGUGACUUUAACUCCAAAUUCACACAGAAUAGGGGUAAAGUAAAAUUUUUACAGAUUCUAAGUCUAUAACAUCCUAAUUACAUAUAUCCUUAGUGUAUCCACUUAGCAACUAUCAACUUAGUAAUGAAAAUCUCGUUUUAAUUCUUAAGUAUAAAGUACUUAUAGUAACACCAAAUAUCCCUAUAGUAUUUUAAGUUUAACGUUAUGUUCUACUGUUCUCCUUGUGGUAGGGUUGGUAAGAUUUUAGACUUGUUACAACCACACAACUACACUUAGCCACAUGCUAGUCAACCCUCGGGUAAUAUAGUUGAUCAAGCUAUAUCUUCCCAGUUUUGACUAUAUGUCUCUAAUUCCACCUGUGUUGCCCAAUAAUCGUUAUUCUUUUGUACUGUCCUAGUGACACUGAUUUUAGUAUGAAUGCAGGUACGUAUACCUAAUUAAAUAUUUUAUUAUUUAAAGUAUAAACUCUUGGUCAGGGUAUUUUUAAUCCCUAUGUAUUUAUAGUUAGUAUAUCUUUUAUGGGUUGAUAUACUUAAUUCACUAUAAACAAUGCUCUGAUAACAAUCUGUCACACCCCAAAACCAAGAACGGCGGAAACGUUCUGGGGCGGAGGACGUCAUGUACAGUAUCACAACAAUGAAAAGUAGUAAACAAGCAACAACAUCAUCCAUUGCAUUAAUAAUAUAAUUUUAAUACAAGUGUUCUGUCAAAUUAUAAUAGACACUAAAGAAUAAAUCAAAAUGAAAGAUGCGUCUUGAACGAGCACCAUCUUCCCUGAACCUUGCAUCGGUACCUGUCUAUGGUUGACCGGAGGAUACAAGUUAUUUUGAAAGAGAGUAUCAACUUUAAAGCUAGUGAGAUCAUAAGUAUAUUAGUGUCUUAAUUUGUAUGUAAGUAUUUGUAUGUAUAUGACUUGUAUGUAUUGAGAAUGUAUAUGAACUUAAAGUAUAAAAAUGUAUAUGAAUUGUAAGUAUAAAAAUGUAUAUGAAUUUAAGUAUAAAAAUGUUUUGUAUGAUCCUAGGAAGCCCUAUGUUUCCUACUAAUCGUAUCCUUCUACCAAGGCGUCUAGUGUCUAUGUGUAUGGCUCUUGUAAGAGAGUGUAUUUUACUAAAUCUGACUAUCAUUAACCAAAAACAUAGUUUCUACAUUACCGUGCGUCGUGUGAAUGUUCACAAAGUGAAUGUAAUGGGAAAUGAAAUACUACUAUGGUGUAGUGUCGAACUACAACCGUACUAAUUACCUAAAGUCUAGGGUAAUUCUUCUAAGUACUGUAGUAUUUGUAAUAAAUAACUACUUCUAUACUCAAUUGCCUUAUUUGAGGGAUAAGGUAUAAUGUGAUGGCUAGAUCCCAGGCUAUACGCUCCCCUGUCAAAGGGAUUUUGAGACCUUUAGACGCCCAUGCAUAUAUGCACUACAUGUCACAUCCAUAUUAGUAUGAUCAUAGAUACCCGAUAUAACUAUCACAAUUGCGUUGUGAUUCAUCGGUAUAGUUAGAUCCUGAACUUGUUGCAUGAUAUAGCACCUAGUGACGUCUGUCCUAUGUAUAUGUAAGCAUACUCACGUAAGUGUAAUAUGUAAUUGUACUCAUGUAAGUGUAAUCAUGUAAACAUAUCUAUGUAAUAGUAUAGUAAUGUACUAUAAUGUUCUACGUGUGCUAGCUGUAAUGUGUGUUCUCUCUCUAUCUAGCAUGUAUAGUAAUGUACUGUGUGUACUAGCUGUAAUGUGUGUUCUCUCUCUAUCUAGCAAGUAUUGACUCAUGAAUAAACUGACUCAUUGUAUGAUAUUGUGUUCUAGUAAUGGUUAUAGUAUCUUCCUAAACUACCCAUAUGGUAGCUUACUAGUAAUAUAACUGGUACAUAUGAACAUGGAUGUAUACCCUUGCUACCCAAGGGCAUUGGAUGAACUGGAAGGACCUUUAUGACUAUAUAUGUACAUAUGAUAUAUAACUAAUAUUUAAACAACCUUCGGACGGAUACCCGAUGUCCCACCAGACCACAUCUCAAGCGCGAAAAGGAAAUAGGGUGGAUAGCCUUCCUAAUUCUUUUAAACAUUUCUUUUAUAACUAUACAUAUAGAGGCAUGCAAUUUAUAAUAUAAAAGCAGAAAAUAAGUUUUGCAAAACCUUUGAUCAUAAUUAUUAUCUAAGAAAAGAUCGACUUAAUCUUAAUCUAUAAAAUGGUUUUAAAGCAUGGGUUUGAUAAAACAGUUUAAGUAUAAGGAAAUAUUUGUUUGAAACACAAUUGUAAAUGAGUUUGAAAGGAACAUACAGAGUAAAAUGUAUAGUUUAAUAAGGAGUUUUAAACUUAAUAAGUGUUUACGAUAAACAUUUGAAGGAAACUGUUUGGUAAAACGGCUAAUGAGUAGCCAAUCAUUUGAAUGUUGUUUAUUAAUCACAAGUGAUUGAUAUAACAACUACCAUGAUUCAACUUGUAUUCCCCCCCACCCCAUAAAGCAUUUGAAAACAUUUAGAAACAUUUACAAGAUUAAUUUAGGGGUAUGAACUCACCUGCAGUGAGUGGAUCAGAUGGAAGUGUCGGAGAAGUGUUUGGUGUCAAGUGANAUGAUCCUAAUUACAUAUGAAGACAUAUGUAUAUAAAUAAUUAGUGAUUUAAAACACUAAUUAACCAUGUAUAAAUAUCCUAAUGCGCGGAAAACACUUUGGUCAAGUGUUAGGAGGCUAUCGGGUUGCAACAAGAGAGUGCAAGACCUUAU